GCCCGCUAUCAAUUCAAAAAGUAGAAAACCCCUUUUCUGGGCCUGCAAGGAAAAGUUCAACAAUUCCUCAGCUAAGGUUGAAUUUGGCAUUGCUUGCACAAAAUUAGUAGGCUAUUAUAGAGACAAUAUAUCUGUAGAAACCAACUAUGGAGAGAGCUUUAAGGUGAAAAUGACAUUUAUCAUGGAGUGCCCCUUUUGAAAAUUAUUUUGAGCCACAAUUGCUUUCAGUCACACCGUACAAUGGUGACAUUUCAUGAAGUCCUCAACUAGACAAGUUUAUGCGCCUCCUCAACAAUAAUACUCUUAACACUUCUAGCACAAAACAUAUAUUAGUCCAUAUAACAUGGACAUGUGGCUCACAUGGUAACAUUUAUGCAUAUAAGAUGCCAAUAAUCCCAAUAUUCCAUAAGAUAU
rnacentral:misc_RNA from 1 species